UAAGAAACAUGUUUUUGUUAUAUGGG
rnacentral:piRNA from 1 species